rnacentral:RNase_P_RNA from 1 species
GCAAGCUGGACAGCCGCGGACCCAGGCCGAAAGGCCGGGCCUGAGGAAAGUCCGGGCUCCACAGGGCAAGGAUAACGGGUAACACCCGCCGGGGGCGACCCUAGGAAAAGGGCAACAGAAAUAAACCGCCGUUCCGGCUCGCCGGGGCGGUAAGGAUGGAAAGGCGAGGUAAGAGCUCACCCGAUGACGUGGAAGCGCUCAUCGCUGUAACCUCUAUCCGGAGCAACGCCGUGGAAACGCAUGAGGCCGGCCCGGCCGCGUUUGGGAGGCGGCUUGAGCGUACCGGCAACGGUGCGCCUAGAUAGAUGGCUGUCUUAAAGGACAGAACCCGGCUUACAGGCUUACUUG